rnacentral:rRNA from 1 species
GUGGGGAAUAUUGCACAAUGGGCGCAAGCCUGAUGCAGCCAUGCCGCGUGUAUGAAGAAGGCCUUCGGGUUGUAAAGUACUUUCAGCGAGGAGGAAGGCGGUGAGGUUAAUAACCUCAUCGAUUGACGUUACUCGCAGAAGAAGCACCGGCUAACUCCGUGCCAGCAGCCGCGGUAAUACGGAGGGUGCAAGCGUUAAUCGGAAUUACUGGGCGUAAAGCGCACGCAGGCGGUCUGUUAAGUCAGAUGUGAAAUCCCCGGGCUCAACCUGGGAACUGCAUUUGAAACUGGCAGGCUUGAGUCUUGUAGAGGGGGGUAGAAUUCCAGGUGUAGCGGUGAAAUGCGUAGAGAUCUGGAGGAAUACCGGUGGCGAAGGCGGCCCCCUGGACAAAGACUGACGCUCAGGUGCGAAAGCGUGGGGAGCAAACAGGAUUAGAAACCCUGGUAGUCC